GCGUCAUUAGCUCAGCUGGAUAGAGUGUCGGCCUCCGAAGCCGAAGGUCACGCGUUCGAAUCGCGUAUGACGCACCA
rnacentral:tRNA from 1 species